AAACGGAUCAAGCUUUUUGUGA
rnacentral:miRNA from 3 species